GACGAACGCUGGCGGCGUGCUUAACACAUGCAAGUCGAACGGAAAGGCCCUGCUUUUGUGGGGUGCUCGAGUGGCGAACGGGUGAGUAACACGUGAGUAACCUGCCCUUGACUUUGGGAUAACUUCAGGAAACUGGGGCUAAUACCGGAUAGGAGCUCCUGCUGCAUGGUGGGGGUUGGAAAGUUUCGGCGGUUGGGGAUGGACUCGCGGCUUAUCAGCUUGUUGGUGGGGUAGUGGCUUACCAAGGCUUUGACGGGUAGCCGGCCUGAGAGGGUGACCGGCCACAUUGGGACUGAGAUACGGCCCAGACUCCUACGGGAGGCAGCAGGGGGGAAUAUUGCACAAUGGGCGGAAGCCUGAUGCAGCAACGCCGCGUGCGGGAUGACGGCCUUCGGGUUGUAAACCGCUUUCGCCUGUGACGAAGCGUGAGUGACGGUAAUGGGUAAAGAAGCAACGGCUAACUACGUG
rnacentral:rRNA from 1 species